rnacentral:sRNA from 1 species
AUAAGAGCAGCUGAUACUCUGUCCGGGCUCAAUGCGUUUCUGUUGUUGUCUGGCAACUGUAGGGGGAGGAGUGUCUCCAGAUGUGUGUCCCGCACUGAGCGAUGAGCCUGGUGGACUAACCGCCUCCAGGGGGCGCGUGCAUGAAGCCUCCCCGCCAACCUUCCAGAAAGAUGCUUUGCUUGGCAGCAAACCUAACAAACCUUCACUACCCAGUAGCUCUCAAAACCUGGGCCAAACAGAAGUGAGUAAAGUAAGUGAAACAGUUCAGGAAGAGCUUACCCCGCCACCACAGAAAGCGGCUCCUCAGGGGAAAAGUAAGUCUGACCCCCUGAAAAAGAAGACAGACAGAGCACCACCAUCUCCACCCUGUGAUAUCACCUGUCUUGAAAGUUUUCGUGACUCAAUGGUUCUUGGAUGGAAGCAACCAGAUAAGAUUGGAGGGGCAGAAAUUACUGGCUAUUAUGUGAACUAUCGCGAGGUCAUUGAUGGGGUACCAGGAAAAUGGAGAGAAGCCAAUGUCAAGGCUGUCAGUGAGGAGGCAUACAAGAUUAGCAACUUGAAGGAAAACAUG